rnacentral:rRNA from 1 species
UACGUAGGGGGCAAGCGUUGUUCGGAAUUACUGGGCGUAAAGAGCGCGCAGGCGGUCGAGUAAGUCGAAUGUGAAAGCCCCCGGCUUAACUGGGGAGGGUCAUUCGAUACUGUUCGACUUGAAGGCAGGAGAGGGCAGCAGAAUUCCCGGUGUAGUGGUGAAAUGCGUAGAUAUCGGGAGGAAUACCAGUGGCGAAGGCGGCUGCCUGGCCUGUUCUUGACGCUGAGGCGCGAAAGCUGGGGGAGCAAACGGG